AUUGAGAUUUACUGAGAGAGUGUAUAUGCAAGAGAUAUUAAUCACAGAAGAAGAUUUCGUGUGGCGUGUUUAAUUCCACUUCUUCAUGUAAUAUAACUUGGAAACACAUGUCUGGCUCACGUUUUGUGUCCACAGUCUAAAAGUAUCUGUAACAAGUUUUCUGCAAAGCCCAUAAUGGAUCCUGUGGUUACGCAGAUCCAUAGACAAGUUCAACCUGAAGAGGAAAGAGGGUAUACCACUGUGAUAAUGGAACAGACAAAUUGUACACAACAGCCAUGAUGCAAUUUGAGACAGAAACCCCUUACAAGGAGAAAACCAUCUCCGGUUUGUCGACAUACAAUGAAUUCAUUCCAAGCAGCAAACACCCAGCAAUACACAGUCCUUGGGUUUCAUUCUAAAUUGGUCUUUUCUGGCAGAUUAGAAAAUGUACCAAGUAAAACGACUGUCUCCCCUCCAACAAAGGAUUCAUUUGUCCCCGUUUUGUGUCGUUGGCUUGUGCCAUCCCUGACACCAAAUUAACUUGUAGUCCGUGCAUACAAGACCAGCGACUAUAGUCACAAAGUCUGAACAAAUCUGGUUUCUGUUGACUCCAAUUUCUGGAACUGCAAAAAGACAGAAUAGACAUGCUAAUUUGCCCAGAUAUUGUAAAUCUUAUUUACGAAGUAAUCAUUCAGAAGCUAAAGACUUAUUUAACUGGUAAAUUUGGCUACAUAGCAUUC
rnacentral:sRNA from 1 species